rnacentral:rRNA from 1 species
GACAGAGGGUGCAAACGUUGCUCGGAAUUACUGGGCGUAAAGGGCUCGUAGGUGGCCAACUAAGUCAGACGUGAGAUCCCUCGGCUUAACCGGGGAACUGCGUCUGAUACUGGAUGGCUUGAGUUUGGGAGAGGGACGCGGAAUUCCAGGUGUAGCGGUGAAAUGCGUAGAUAUCUGGAGGAACACCGGUGGCGAAGGCGGCGUCCUGGACCAACACUGACACUGAGGAGCGAAAGCCAGGGGAGCAAACGGG